UGGCCUUGACAUGCAGAGAACUUUCCAGAGAUGGAUUGGUGCCUUCGGGAACUCUGACACAGGUGCUGCAUGGCCGUCGUCAGCUCGUGUCGUGAGAUGUUGGGUUAAGUCCCGUAACGAGCGCAACCCCUAUCCCUAGUUGCUAGCAGUUCGGCUGAGAACUCUAGGGAGACUGCCGGUGACAAACCGGAGGAAGGUGGGGAUGACGUCAGGUCAUCAUGGCCCUUACGGCCAGGGCUACACACGUGCUACAAUGGUGCGUACAGAGGGCUGCAAACCCGCGAGGGGGAGCUAAUCUCACAAAACGCAUCGUAGUCCGGAUCGGAGUCUGCAACUCGACUCCGUGAAGUCGGAAUCGCUAGUAAUCGCGAAUCAGAAUGUCGCGGUGAAUACGUUCCCGGGCCUUGUACACACCGCCCGUCACACCAUGGGAGUGGAUUGCACCAGAAGUGGUUAGUCUAACCUUCGGGAGGA
rnacentral:rRNA from 1 species